GCAUAUCAAUAAGCGGAGGAAAAGAAACCAACAGGGAUUGCCCUAGUAACGGCGAGUGAAGCGGCAACAGCUCAAAUUUGAAAUCUGGCCUCGGCCCGAGUUGUAAUUUGCAGAGGAAGCUUUAGGCGCGGCACCUUCUGAGUCCCCUGGAACGGGGCGCCAUAGAGGGUGAGAGCCCCGUAUAGUUGGAUGCCUAGCCUGUGUAAAGCUCCUUCGACGAGUCGAGUAGUUUGGGAAUGCUGCUCAAAAUGGGAGGUAAAUUUCUUCUAAAGCUAAAUACCGGCCAGAGACCGAUAGCGCACAAGUAGAGUGAUCGAAAGAUGAAAAGCACUUUGAAAAGAGGGUUAAAUAGCACGUGAAAUUGUUGAAAGGGAAGCGCUUGUGACCAGACUUGCGCCGGGCUGAUCAUCCGGUGUUCUCACCGGUGCACUCUGCCCGGCUCAGGCCAGCAUCGGUUCUCGCGGGGGGAUAAAGGCCCAGGGAACGUAGCUCCUCCGGGAGUGUUAUAGCCCUGGGUGUAAUGCCCUCGCGGGGACCGAGGUUCGCGCAUCUGCAAGGAUGCUGGCGUAAUGGUCACCAGCGACCCGUCUUGAAACACGGACCAAGGAGUCAAGGUUUUGCGCGAGUGUUUGGGUGUAAAACCCGCACGCGUAAUGAAAGUGAACGUAGGUGAGAGCUUCGGCGCAUCAUCGACCGAUCCUGAUGUUUUCGGAUGGAUUUGAGUAGGAGCGUUAAGCCUUGGACCCGAAAGAUGGUGAACUAUGCUUGGAUAGGGUGAAGCCAGAGGAAACUCUGGUGGAGGCUCGCAGCGGUUCUGACGUGCAAAUCGAUCGUCAAAUCUGAGCAUGGGGGGCGAAAGACUAAUCGAACCAUCUAGUAGCUGGUUACCGCCGA
rnacentral:rRNA from 1 species